rnacentral:rRNA from 1 species
AGUGAACGCUGGCGGUAGGCCUAACACAUGCAAGUCGAACGGCAGCACAGUAAGAGCUUGCUCUUACGGGUGGCGAGUGGCGGACGGGUGAGGAAUACAUCGGAAUCUACUUUUUCGUGGGGGAUAACGUAGGGAAACUUACGCUAAUACCGCAUACGACCUACGGGUGAAAGCAGGGGAUCUUCGGACCUUGCGCGAUUGAAUGAGCCGAUGUCGGAUUAGGUAGUUGGCGGGGUAAAGGCCCACCAAGGCGACGAUCCGUAGCUGGUCUGAGAGGAUGAUCAGCCACAGUGGAACUGAGACCCGGUCCAGACUCCUACGGGAGGCAGAAGUGGGGAAUAUUGGACAAUGGGCGAAAGCCUGAUCCAGCCAUACCGCGUAGGCGACGAAGGCCUUGGGGUUGUAAAGCCCUUUUGGUGGGAAAGAAAAGCAGCAGGUUAAUACCCCGUUGUUGUGAAGGUACACAAAGAAGAAGCACCGGCUAACUUCG